CAUUCUCAAAACCUUCUUGGUUUCUUGACCGGGAAGGCUUUUGGACUUUGGAGGCUUUUGCUGGACUUCCCUUGUUGGAGCCAGCUCCUCUGAAAUGAAUUAGUGGGGUCUACUUUGCUGAUCCUUGACGUGAUAAGAUGUUUUCUACGUCUCGGGUUUCGCACCGUUCCCUGCUUCUAACCGUCUCAUAGAAGACGAUGGUCAAGUGAUCACCACUUGACCCACAAA
rnacentral:misc_RNA from 1 species